rnacentral:rRNA from 1 species
UACGGAGGAUGCGAGCGUUAUCCGGAUUUAUUGGGUUUAAAGGGUGCGUAGGCGGGAUGCCAAGUCAGCGGUAAAGAUGCGGUGCUCAACGCCGUCGAGCCGUUGAAACUGGCGUUCUUGAGUGGGCGAGAAGUAUGCGGAAUGCGUGGUGUAGCGGUGAAAUGCAUAGAUAUCACGCAGAACUCCGAUUGCGAAGGCAGCAUACCGGCGCCCUACUGACGCUGAGGCACGAAAGCGUGGGUAUUGAACAGG